ACCCAGUGACUCCUGAAGCAGGGGUCAGCACAGUGGAAGACUGGCUGGACUUGAUUAAAAUGGGUCAGUACAAGGAACACUUCUCCAGCACCGGCUAUGUCACCCUGGACUCAGUUCUGUAUGUCAGCGCUAGUGAACUGGAUAAGAUGGGUGUAGCACUGGCAGGCCAUCAGAAAAAGAUCUUGUCUAGUAUCCAGUGUCUUCAGGCACACCAUGGGACUCAGGUUCAGCACUGAAGUUCAUCAGCCCUACAGGAGAACGGGCCGGUACCUUCCCCUUUGUGAUCAGCAUCCAGAAAGGCAGUAGAUCGCUGCGGAUGUCCGAGAUUGUGAACUUGGAUAUCUAUCCAUCCAAGUGAAGUAAGGACAAGAAUCAACACCAUGUGACAUCACAGCACUGUGAACAUCACGCUUCACUCCUCAUUGUACAGAAGAAAGACCUUGAGAAGAAACACCGAUUGUGUCUUGUGAAUCUUUCAACUGUUUUGCGAGCGAUACUAGUAUGAUUUUCUUCAAUAAGAUGUUUAAUGUGAACUGCGCUGCGAGGGUGAGGAAGCCUUCAGCGAGAUGUCCUUGCAAACUUGUGUAUGUGGAAGUAGUUUAGAAACCUUCAGACUCGCCUUUAGAAAGCAAUGAAGCACUGAUCUCUCUUUCGCACAUACGCACACAUUUAAACGCUACAUAGAAGGGCCACUCCUUGACCCCGAAUGCCACUCCGGCCUGCUCCCGUCAAGCCCUCGGCAGCGUCUUCGGAAUAUGUCAAUUCCACCGUGGAGAUCCUAGAGUUCGGAGAGCCCACGCUUGUCACUUUUGACAAGUUCUGACAUCCGAUGUGCAGCAACAGAGAAACGAGAGGCAUUUAAGGAAUGAAAAGCAAUUGUUGCUUCACAGACAGAGACUGGACGAUGUCACGAAGAGGGCAGAUGUUGUCCUUCCUUCACACUGGCAGCAACUUUCGGUCGUCUUUUUCAACACGUUGAUGUGGAGCUGCUUCAUUUGAUGUGGCUUUUCUUUGCAUAUUUAAAGUAUUUUGCCUCAUUACGUGCGUUUCAUCACAAACGUGAGCGUCUUUUUUGGAAGGAGGAAAGGAUAUGUGUUGAGCAUUUUAUGAGGGAGACUUUAUUCCUAAAUCAUCCUGGUGUUGAUGGAGCUGCCCUCGGUGGACUGUUGAGCCUGUGUUUGUGUUGGACCCCGUUUAGCGUAGAGGUCUGAUGGUUACCGAGUGCUUGGUACCUUCAGAUUGCAUUUCCAUAUGAUAACAAAAUGGAGGAGCUUAAACAUUUUAGCAUACAAUUUCCAAGUCAUUUCAUGCACCAUGUUCUCAAUCCCAUGUAAAAAGGUGUCCGCAAUAGAUGCUGGUGCUUUAAAAAUAGCUUCAUCCUCCAUUUUCUGGUUUCUCGCCCCAUGUUUCUUGGCAGUGCUUUGUUCUGCGCUUGGAAAUGUUUGAUUGAAGAAGAAACGAUUGUAUUGCAGUAGAACUUGAGACAUUGUACAGUGUUGGUUAUUGUAUUUGUACAGUAAUGACUUAGUGUUUUGAAGGUUUUUGUCAGUUGUAAAUUAAGGCAAGGUGGUAACUCUUAUUUUAACCUUCAACUCUAGCUUUGGACAGACGAGGAUUGUGAGGAUGUAGAAUGUAAUGGAUAAUUUAGCUUUAAGGUUUUGGGGAAAGCUAAGCAUUCUCAGGAUUGUUGUUUGUCACUGAUACACGAUUCAAGAUGGCUGCAGAUCAGACAGAACUGCAAACUCAGUUUUGUCUUCUAUGGAUACACUUCCUGUUCGAAGCCUUUCGGUUUCAUUGUUCUUAUUUAUGUUUUGUCAUCACAAGUCUUUCAUUUAUACAGUAAAAAACACUUUCUGUCUGUGUUUUUGUCUUGUUUUCCAGUAAAAAAAUAUCUAAACAUCAGAAUUGCUUAAGAUUUUAAGACUUGUUUGACUUAAAAUUACAUAUUUUGCCGUUCUGAAGAAA